AAAGUUUCCGAAAAUCUUAAAAAUACAACUACUCAAACAACCACAAAUCAUGUUCAAAUUGAAAAUAAAGAAUUUAAAACCACAAAUAAUAUCGAUUAGCCUUUGUAUAAGGGAAAUGAAACUAAAAGCACGCCAAAAACCUCAUCUCGACAUUGAAUAGCAACGACUUCAGCAGAAAUGGGAUGGAUCUCAACGAAAUAGCUUCUACAAAUCUCAUGAAACCGACCACUGAAGCAAAUAAAAUAAAGAAGUAUGCAGAAGAUGAUUUGCAAAUAACAACGCCCAAAAUUAAAGUAACAACGAAACUUCCAACGCUCAUAACAAAUGGAUCAUCUAAAAUUGAUAUAUCAAGUUAUCCAUCAUCAAAGCAAGCUCCCAAUUUUGAAACAAAUUUAAAUUCAAGUCUUGAUAAUUCCCUUGAGUCAAAUUCAAGUGAUCAGAUACCUCUAAUUUCACGACCAUCGACUGAAAUUCUGCCCCCUAUAGUAAAGCAUCCUGGAAGUUUAACCGGAAUUUCGGAAUUGGAAAAAAACUCGUCAAAUGUAGAGACAACUGCAAGACCACAAACGGUUGGAACCAUUACUCCAGACACAACAAUAUUUCCACCGACUACAAUACCAACAAAACACCAACAACCUACCCCGAAUCAGUACAACACCACAAAGCCAACAACAAUAUUUCCACCGACUACAAUAACAACAAAACGCCAACAACCUACCCCAAAUCAGUACAACACCACAAAGCCAACAACAACAUUUCCACCGACUACAACAACAACAAAACGCCAACAACCUACCCCAAAUCAGUACAACAACACAAAGUCAACAACAAUAUUUCCACCGACUACAACAACAACAAAGCGCCAACAACCUACGCCAAAUCAGUACAACAACACAAAGUCAACAACAAUAUUUCCACCGACUACAACAACAACAAAACGCCAACAACCAACCUCGAAUCAGUACAACACCACAAAGCCAAGAACAACAUUUCCAUCGACUACUAUAACAACUAAACGUCAACAAACAGUCUUCUCAACCAACAAACCCAUCAAAGAGUGUGUUUUACGCAAUUGUGAUCAUCCACUCUUUUGUAAGAUUUCAUUUCCAGGACCCCGCAACUCUGAAAUUACAAUUGUUGAUAAGGGACGAUUAUCUCUUAUAGUGGGAUCACAAGUGAUUUUCAAUUGUGCCGAAGGUUAUGAUUUAGUAGGUGCAAAUCGUUUAACAUGCACACCGACAGGUUGGAGUCAUAGCAGUCCAAGUUGCAUUUCCUACUGUGACGCAGACUUCAUAUAUAACUGCAGACCACCACUCAAAUGUUUAUUUGAACAGUCCAAUAGUAGAUCAAAAAUCUUCAUAACAAAAGAGUUUAAACAAAGAGUUAGAGAACAUUCCCACAUUAGUUUUGCCUGCGAUAAGGGUUAUCUGCAUGAAGGUCCGACCAUGAGGAAAUGUACAGCGAGAGGGUGGUCAAAUGAGAUACCUAGAUGUAUUAAUUAUUGCGAUAUAUCCGAAUUGGAACCUCUCAAUUCACCACUCAAAUGCAAAUUGUUCGAUUCAAAUAUACAAAGAUUGAAAGACUAUCAAUAUUCCGUAUGGAACAAGAAGAUCAAAGAACGUUCUUACUUUGAAUUUACCUGCGAAGAUGGAUAUAAACUGGAUGGCGAGAAUCGUUCAACCUGUAUGAAUAAUGGCUGGAGUAGUGCUGCACCUACUUGCAUUCGCUCGUGUGAUCUAAGUCUGGUUAGUCCGUGCACAGCGCCGUUACUCUGUCAUCACAAUCACAAAAGAUCUUUCUUUGGAUAACUUUGGAAACAGGGCUGACGUGGCGCUUGCAGGGGUACAUGUAGAUUAUAGUUGUGAAGAUGGUUAUGAACUAGAUGGGACAAAGGUCAUAACAUGUACGAACGAUGGAUGGAGUAAUAGGAUUCCUACUUGCAAGGAAACUGUUUGUGAUACUAGUAUAUUGACGGACUGCACUUAUCCGUUAAAGUGUGAGAUAUAUGAUCUAACGGUACGAAAGUAUAAGAGCAUCUAUAGAUAACGAUUUUUAUACUCUCGCAACAAAUGUUGCUAAAGAGAGUAUUAUAGUUUUGUUCACAUAACGGUUGUUUGUAACACCCAAAACUAAACGAGUUAGAUAUAGGGUUAUAUAUACCAAAGUGAUCAGGGUGAAGAGUGGAGUUCAAAUCCGAAUGUCUGUCUGUCUGUCCGUCCGUCCGUCCGUCCGUCUGUGCAAGCUGUAACUUGAGUAAAAUUGAAGAUAUCUUGAUGAAACUUGGCACACUUAUUUCUUGGCACCAUAGGAAGGUUGCUUUCGAAAAUGAGCAAAAUCGGACCACUGCCACGCCCAGAAAAUAGCGAAAACCGAAAACACAUAAAGGGCCAUAACUAAGCCAUAAAUAAAGCUAUGGAAAUAAAAUUUGGUAUGAAGGAUCGCACUAUGAAGGGUCAUAUUUGGAUGUAUUUUUUUUGGAGAAGUGGGCGUGGCCCCGCCCCCUACUAAGUUUUUUGUACAUAUCUCGCAAACCAAUAAAGCUAUAUAAACCAAACUUCCUGCAGUCGUUUUUUAGCCACUUCCUAAUACAGUCCAAAAAUGAAAGAAAUCGGAUCAUAACCACGCCCACCUCCCAUACAAAAGUUAAGUUGAAAAUUACUAAAAGUGGGUUAACUCACUAACGAACAACGUCAGAAACACUAAAUUUCAUAUAAGAAAUGGCAGAGGGAAGCUGCACUCAGAUUUUUUUACAAAAUGGAAAAUGGCGUGGCGUCGCCCACUUAUGGGUCAAAAACCAUAUCUCAGGAACUACUCGACCGAUUUCAAUGAAACUUGGUUUGUAAUAGUUUCCUUCCAUCCCAAUGAUAUGUUGUGAAAAUUGGCCAAAUCGCUUCACAACCAUGCCUACUUCCUAUAUACCAGAACUUAGAAGACAAUCUGAAUCGUUUACUUUACAAUAUAUAUAGUAAGCACUAGUGAAGAUAUCGGUGCAAAACUUUGCACAAAUACUGUAUUUAUAGUGUGGCAGCCCAUUUCUAAAAAUCGUCGAAAGCGGACCAUAGGUUUUCAAGGCCCCAUAUAUCGACCAUGAGGACCUCGGUGCUUCUAACCAAAUAUUAUGGUUUCCAACUUUCAAUGGACUUUAUACAAUAUAUUUGACGAAUAUGUGGGUCAAAUUGUGUAUUGUAUAAUAUAAAUAAAGUUAAAUAAAUAAAUUGCGAGAGUAUAAAAUGUUCGGUUACACCCGAACUUAGCCCUUCCUUACUUGUUUGAAAAUUAGUUGUGAAGAUGGCUACACUCAUCAAGGCUCACAAUAUUUAGCCUGCAGAAGAGGAAAAUGGGAAAUUAUGCCUAAAUGCAUUGGUAUGCAUUUCGUAUGGUUCAUAUUGUUCAUGCACUUCUCAUUAAUAUCAUCAUAAACCAAUAGCCCCCACAUGUAACGUCAAUUUGUUACCGAAAUGUGGAAAUCCUCUGAUUUGCACCGCUUACCAUGAUAAUUUGGUAUCUGAGCAACAGAUAAUGAAUAACUAUUGGAACAGUCGUGAAACUUAUCCCCAAGGCACUGUCGUGGUUUUUGAUUGUCCACAUGGUUAUACGUUAAAAGGGUCCAAAGAAAUCACCUGUGAUUUGUACGGUUGGAAAUAUGAACACGGAACAUAUAGCUCAGAAUGCC